rnacentral:rRNA from 1 species
UACGGGGGGGGCAAGCGUUGUUCGGAAUUACUGGGCGUAAAGGGCGCGUAGGCGGUCAUGCAAGUGAGAUGUGAAAUCCCCGGGCUUAACCUGGGAACUGCAUUUUAGACUGUGUGACUGGAGUACUGUAGAGGACAGUGGAAUUUCCGGUGUAGCGGUGAAAUGCGUAGAGAUCGGAAGGAACACCAGUGGCGAAGGCGACUGUCUGGCCUGUUCUUGACGCUGAGGCGCGAAAGCUAGGGGAGCAAACGGG